rnacentral:rRNA from 1 species
UACAGAGGUCCCGAGCGUUGUUCGGAUUCAUUGGGCGUAAAGGGUGCGUAGGCGGUCUGCUAAGUUUGGUGUGAAAUCCCGGGGCUCAACCCUGGAAUUGCAUUGAAUACUGGUGGACUAGAGUACUGGAGAGGAAACUGGAAUUUACGGUGUAGCAGUGAAAUGCGUAGAGAUCGUAAGGAAGACCAGUGGCGAAGGCGAGUUUCUGGACAGUUACUGACACUGAGGCACGAAGGCCAGGGGAGCAAACGGG